UACGUAGGCAGCAAGCGUUGUUCGGAGUUACUGGGCGUAAAGGGUGUGUAGGCGGUUCUUUAAGUUUGGUGUGAAAUCUCCCGGCUCAACUGGAGGGUGCGCCGAAUACUGAGGGACUAGAGUACGGGAGAGGAAAGUGGAAUUCCUGGUGUAGCGGUGAAAUGCGUAGAUAUCAGGAGGAACACCGGUGGUGUAGACGGCUUUCUGGACCGUAACUGACGCUGAAACACGAAAGCGUGGGUAGCAAACAGG
rnacentral:rRNA from 1 species